AGCGAACGCUGGCGGCAGGCUUAACACAUGCAAGUCGAACGGGCGUAGCAAUACGUCAGUGGCAGACGGGUGAGUAACACGUGGGAACGUACCCUUUGGUUCGGAACAACACAGGGAAACUUGUGCUAAUACCGGAUAAGCCCUUACGGGGAAAGAUUUAUCGCCGAAGGAUCGGCCCGCGUCUGAUUAGCUUGUUGGUGAGGUAAUGGCUCACCAAGGCGACGAUCAGUAGCUGGUCUGAGAGGAUGAUCAGCCACACUGGGACUGAGACACGGCCCAGACUCCUACGGGAGGCAGCAGUGGGGAAUAUUGGACAAUGGGCGCAAGCCUGAUCCAGCCAUGCCGCGUGAGUGAUGAAGGCCCUAGGGUUGUAAAGCUCUUUUGGCCGGGGAAGGAUAAUGACGGUACCGCAGAAUAAGCCCCGGCUAACUUCGUGCCAGCAGCCGCGGU
rnacentral:rRNA from 1 species